CCUACGGGUGGCAGCAGUGGGGAAUCUUGCACAAUGGGGGAAACCCUGAUGCAGCAACGCCGCGUGGGUGAAGAAGGAUUUCGGUAUGUAAAGCUCUGUCAGCAGGGAAGAAAGUGACGGUGCCUAACUAAGAAGCCUCGGCUAACUACGUGCCAGCAGCCGCGGUAAUACGUAGGGGGCAAGCGUUAUCCGGAUUUACUGGGUGUAAAGGGAGCGUAGACGGUUAAUCAAGUCAGAAGUGAAAACCCAGGGCUCAACCUUGGGAGUGCUUUUGAAACUGAGUAGCUAGAGUGCAGGAGAGGUAAGUGGAAUUCCAAGUGUAGCGGUGAAAUGCGUAGAUAUUAGGAGGAACACCAGUGGCGAAGGCGGCUUACUGGACUGUAACUGACGCUGAGGUUCGAAAGCGUGGGGAGCAAACAGGAUUAGAUACCCUUGUAGUC
rnacentral:rRNA from 1 species